CCAUAUCCAUUAUCAUCCAUUAAACAUCCUCAAAUGUGGCACACCCAGAACCUUCUCUCCUCCAAUUUCCCUCUUUUCACACUCUCUCCUCCAACCUACAAUCACAAACUCUUUCUCUCUCCUCCAACAACCCUCUCAUCUCUUCAUAGACCCAUCACCUUCCACUCUGUUUCUCCACUCACAAACCACCGUUGUUUUUGUUUACCCCAAUUCACUGACCUUGCAGAUGCCACUUUUCUUGAUGAUAAUGGCCCAGUUGAACUCCCACCCACCAUUU
rnacentral:lncRNA from 1 species